GUCAAAAUGACUGGUGACACCCUUGAGGGUCCGGGCAGUAGAAAAGCCAGGCUGGGGUGGGGGCUGAGUCUCUCUCAUCCCACAACAUUCGUUUCCCUUUGCUUGUCCAAGUCCUGUGUCCAGUUCCAUGCCUGGGUUGCAACACAGGGAGGUCCCAUCAAGGCUACCCAGCACGUGUCAUAAGUAGGUAAGGGGUAAAUGUGUUGUAAUCCGGUCCCCUGACAUUGCUGAUUGCCCUGGUAAGCAAACAGUGGCAGCUCUGGUGAGGAGGUUCUGCCUGCUACGUUUGCACUGGGAGCUGCUGCUUUUGCACAGUUAAUAAUUGUGGUUGCAACUAGAAAGCCUCAUCUCAUCAAGGCAGAAC